UGCGCAGGCGGAAUAAUUAGUCAGUGGUGAAAUCUCCCGGCUCAACCGGGAAACUGCCAUUGAUACUGUUAUUCUUGAGUAUAGUUGUAGUGGGCGGAAUAUAUCAUGUAGCGGUGAAAUGCUUAGAUAUGAUAUAGAACACCGAUCGCGAAGGCAGCUCACUAAACUAUAACUGACGCUCAGGCACGAAAGCGUGGGGAGCAAACAGGAUUAGAUACCCUGGUAGUCC
rnacentral:rRNA from 1 species